rnacentral:tRNA from 1 species
GGGAGUGGAUGUGUCCCGGUGGGCGCCCCGGUCUUCAAAACCGGUGGCGGGCAUCGCGUAGAUGUCCGCGGUGGGUUCGACUCCCAUCCAUUCCCG